CGGACGGGUGAGUAAUGUCUGGGAAACUGCCUGAUGGAGGGGGAUAACUACUGGAAACGGUAGCUAAUACCGCAUAACGUCGCAAGACCAAAGAGGGGGACCUUCGGGCCUCUUGCCAUCGGAUGUGCCCAGAUGGGAUUAGCUAGUAGGUGGGGUAACGGCUCACCUAGGCGACGAUCCCUAGCUGGUCUGAGAGGAUGACCAGCCACACUGGAACUGAGACACGGUCUAG
rnacentral:rRNA from 1 species